rnacentral:rRNA from 1 species
GUACACUCCUGCGGGAGGCAGCAGUGGGGAAUAUUGGACAAUGGGCGCAAGCCUGAUCCAGCCAUGCCGCGUGAGUGAUGAAGGCCCUAGGGUUGUAAAGCUCUUUCACCGGUGAAGAUAAUGACGGUAACCGGAGAAGAAGCCCCGGCUAACUUCGUGCCAGCAGCCGCGGUAACACGAAGGGGGCUAGCGUUGUUCGGAUUUACUGGGCGUAAAGCGCACGUAGGCGGACUAUUAAGUCAGGGGUGAAAUCCCGGGGCUCAACCCCGGAACUGCCUUUGAUACUGGUAGUCUUGAGUUCGAGAGAGGUGAGUGGAAUUCCGAGUGUAGAGGUGAAAUUCGUAGAUAUUCGGAGGAACACCAGUGGCGAAGGCGGCUCACUGGCUCGAUACUGACGCUGAGGUGCGAAAGCGUGGGGAGCAAACAGGAUUAGAAACCCCAGUAGUCCCA